rnacentral:lncRNA from 1 species
CAUCAUGCCAUCCACAUGGGAUGUGCAUUAGUUUCAAUGUUUUUCACCUGUACUUGACCUCCUAGGAGGAUUGUAUCAAAACUCCACCUUUUCAAUGCAAUGAAAUGCAAGUCCUCCGCGUUUUCUACAAAAAAAAAGAAAAAACUAAACUAGAUUAUGAUUUAAUUCAAAAUCCCCCCCAUACAUUCCCUAUUCAAGCCUUAUAAAUUUAGGGUGGGGUCCACAUGACACAUAUGGACUCAUGCCUAAAUCUUAGGGUUUUUGGAAGGGCAUUUUGGAACAACGAGCAGUUUUUAGGGUUUAACUCUUUAAAUCACGCGGUUCUGAAUUCUCCUCAUUUUCCAAUUAAAGGAAAAUUUAAACAUGAUGACAUGCAAUGCUCUC